GACGAACGCUGGCGGCGUGCUUAACACAUGCAAGUCGAACGAAGAGCGAUGGAAGCUUGCUUCUAUCAAUCUUAGUGGCGAACGGGUGAGUAACGCGUAAUCAACCCGCCCUUCAGAGGGGGACAACAGUUGGAAACGACUGCUAAUACCGCAUACGAUCUAAUCUCGGCAACGAGGAUAGAUGAAAGGUGGCCUCUACAUGUAAGCUAUCACCGAAGGAGGGGAUUGCGUCUGAUUAGCUAGUUGGAGGGGUAACGGCCCACCAAGGCGAUGAUCAGUAGCCGGUCUGAGAGGAUGAACGGCCACAUUGGGACUGAGACACGGCCCAGACUCCUACGGGAGGCAGCAGUGGGGAAUCUUCCGCAAUGGACGAAAGUCUGACGGAGCAACGCCGCGUGAGUGAUGACGGCCUUCGGGUUGUAAAGCUCUGUUAAUCGGGACGAAAGGCCUUCUUGCGAAUAGUGAGAAGGAUUGACGGUACCGGAAUAGAAAGCCACGGCUAACUACGUG
rnacentral:rRNA from 1 species